rnacentral:rRNA from 1 species
UACGGAGGGUGCAAGCGUUAUCCGGAUUCACUGGGUUUAAAGGGUGCGUAGGUGGGUUGGUAAGUCAGUGGUGAAAUCUCCAGGCUUAACUUGGAAACUGCCAUUGAUACUAUCAAUCUUGAAUACCGUGGAGGUCAGCGGAAUAUGUCAUGUAGCGGUGAAAUGCUUAGAUAUGACAUAGAACACCAAUUGCGAAGGCAGCUGGCUACAGGGGCAUUGACACUGAGGCACGAAAGCGUGGGGAGCAAACAGG